AGAGUUUGAUCCUGGCUUAGAACUAACGCUGGCAGUGCGUCUUAAGCAUGCAAGUCAAACGGGAUGUAGCAAUACAUUCAGUGGCGAACGGGUGAGUAACGCGUGGAUGAUCUACCUAUGAGAUGGGGAUAACUAUUAGAAAUAGUAGCUAAUACCGAAUAAGGUCAGUUAAUUUGUUAAUUGAUGAAAGGAAGCCUUUAAAGCUUCGCUUGUAGAUGAGUCUGCGUCUUAUUAGCUAGUUGGUAGGGUAAAUGCCUACCAAGGCAAUGAUAAGUAACCGGCCUGAGAGGGUGAACGGUCACACUGGAACUGAGAUACGGUCCAGACUCCUACGGGAGGCAGCAGCUAAGAAUCUUCCGCAAUGGGCGAAAGCCUGACGGAGCGACACUGCGUGAAUGAAGAAGGUCGAAAGAUUGUAAAAUUCUUUUAUAAAUGAGGAAUAAGCUUUGUAGGAAAUGACAAAGUGAUGACGUUAAUUUAUGAAUAAGCCCCGGCUAAUUACGUGCCAGCAGCCGCGGUAAUACGUAAGGGGCGAGCGUUGUUCGGGAUUAUUGGGCGUAAAGGGUGAGUAGGCGGAUAUAUAAGUCUAUGCAUAAAAUACCACAGCUCAACUGUGGACCUAUGUUGGAAACUAUAUGUCUAGAGUCUGAUAGAGGAAGUUAGAAUUUCUGGUGUAAGGGUGGAAUCUGUUGAUAUCAGAAAGAAUACCGGAGGCGAAGGCGAACUUCUGGGUCAAGACUGACGCUGAGUCACGAAAGCGUAGGGAGCAAACAGGAUUAGAUACCCUGGUAGUCUACGCUGUAAACGAUGCACACUUGGUGUUAACUAAAAGUUAGUACCGAAGCUAACGUGAUAA
rnacentral:rRNA from 1 species